rnacentral:rRNA from 1 species
GACGAACGCUGGCGGCAUGCUUAACACAUGCAAGUCGAACGGCAACACCCUGCUUGCUUGCUACUCCAGUUGCCAACGGGCGAGUAACACGGGGGUGCUCUGCCCUCCACUUCUGCAUCAGCUUUGGCAACUGGAACCAAUCCCUGAUACCGCCUCCCUCCAGCGGGUGUAAUCGAAAGAUUUUUCGGUGUAGCAUGAGCUCGCGGCCUAUCCGCUUGUUGGUGGGUUAAUGGCCUACCAAGGCGCCGACGCGUAGCCGGCCUGUGAGGGUGUACGGCGACCUAGGGUCUGAGGGAAGGCCCAGACGGCUACGGGAGGAAGAAGUGGGGAAGAUUGAACAAGGGGCGCAAGGCUGAUGAAGAGGGGCUGCGUGGGGGAUGAAGGCUUUGUGGUUGUAAAAAACUUUCGCUAGGGACGAAGCUUUUUGUGGCGGUACCUAGAGAAGAAGCACCGGCUAACUACGUG